GAGUUUGAUCAUGGCUCAGAACGAACGCUGGCGGCAGGCUUAACACAUGCAAGUCGAGCGCCCCGCAAGAGGAGCGGCAGACGGGUGAGUAACGCGUGGGAAUCUACCCAUCUCUACGGAACAACUCCGGGAAACUGGAGCUAAUACCGUAUACGUCCUUUUGGAGAAAGAUUUAUCGGAGAUGGAUGAGCCCGCGUUGGAUUAGCUAGUUGGUGGGGUAAAGGCCUACCAAGGCGACGGUCCAUAGCUGGUCUGAGAGGAUGAUCAGCCACACUGGGACUGAGACACGGCCCAGACUCCUACGGGAGGCAGCAGUGGGGAAUAUUGGACAAUGGGCGCAAGCCUGAUCCAGCCAUGCCGCGUGAGUGAUGAAGGCCCUAGGGUUGUAAAGCUCUUUCAACGGUGAAGAUAAUGACGGUAACCGUAGAAGAAGCCCCGGCUAACUUCGUGCCAGCAGCCGCGGUAAUACGAAGGGGGCUAGCGUUGUUCGGAAUUACUGGGCGUAAAGCGCACGUAGGCGGAUUGUUA
rnacentral:rRNA from 1 species